UGCCGCUGAGAUGUUUCCUAGCUGUGCACAGAAUUCACUCUCCUACUGGAGGGCUCUGACUGAAAGCUCUGAUGCGGCAGGCCUUCUCUUGACACUUGGUUAAGGUAUGCCUCUCACAUCUGUAUGCCCACAUCUGCUCUCCUCCCUCCCUCCUUCUCAGCACUUAGCCCUCUGAUAUGGUUUGCUGGCGUCCCCACCCAAAUCUCAUCUUGAAUUGUAGUUCCCAUAAAUCCCCACGUAUUGUUCGAGGUACCCCGUGGGAGAUAAUUGAAUCAUGGGGGUGGUUACCCAGAUGCUGCGGUUCUCGUGUUAGUGAGUUCUCGUGAGAUCUGAUGGUUUUAUAAGGGGCUUUUCCCCCUUUUUCUCGGCACUUCUCCUCGCUGCCGCCACAUGAAGAAGGAUGUGUUUGCUUCCCCUUCUGCCAUGAUUGGAAGUUUCCUGAGACCCCUCCAGCCAUGCUGAACUGUGAGUCAAUCAAACGUCUUUCCUCCAUAAAUUACCCAGUCUCGGGUAUGUCUUUAUUAGCAGUGUGAGAAUGGACUCACACAUUCUCCUAAUGUAGUAUACAUGUGUUUGCUCAUUUGUCACCAUCUCUCCAUCUCUAGUCUCUAGAAUAUGAGAUCUGUAAGAACAGGGACACCUAGAAUACGAGAUCUGUAAGAAUAGGGACAUUGUCUGUAUCAGGUGUUCAUGGCUCAAUCCCAGCACCUGGAACAGCAUGAGGCACCUGGCAGGUGCCUGACAAACAUUUGCAGGGAAUAUGUGUGCAUGAACCUGCAUGGGCAGGAACAGGUGCAUAGGAACAUGGAUUGUGGACGUGCAUGUAUGUGCGUGCAUAUGUAUACCACUAUGUAUACGUAGCUUAUUGUGUCUUUGCAGUGAGGUUUUCAAACCUCUGUCUUGUUUCCAGGAUUUCCUGAAGACACCAUCCCAGUCAAGUGGUCUGCCUCAUACUGAGCCACCAGACCACCCAGCAUGUCCUCACCCGCGUGGACAGAUGACAGGGGGCUCUGAGCAUGCCCCAGUGCACCUUACGCACCUGUGAAGGUUGGGAGCCUGAGUGCAGCUCCUGUGGCACUGCCCGUGGCCAGGGAGAUGCCUCCUCAGUGCUCCUGACCCUCGGUGGAGGACCGGCCAGCGUGUGUGCCGACAGUGUGUCCACACAGGUGUGCUGCGCCCAAUGGGCAAGUCGGAAACAAAGGAAAAUGCUCUCUGAAGGAAAAGGCAAAGCAAUUUGGAUUUCUGCGAGAAAAUGAGACUGCAUGUGGCACUGUAAAUACCCUUGCUGCUGAACUUCUCGCUCCCCCCAGAUACACCCUUCAUAUUGACAUGUCUAGAACCUUAAACUGAACCAAGUUGAAAAGUGAGAUUAAUUAGGGCUGAGUUAACAGUUAACACAUACAAUGAAAUAUUGAAUAAGGCUUACUGAGCAAACAAGAAUAUACAGAAGUGGAGGAGACAAAGAGGAUAUUAAAAAUGCAGACAGUGAUGAGGCAGAUAGCUGGGACAAAUAAUGAAAAAUAGUAAAGGAGAUAAGGCAGAUAUUGGAGGAGCAAAGAGUCUCUGAAAUAGAUAUCGGUAUUGAAAGAUGCUAAACACGCUUCUAAAGAGACUUUCUAGCCGACACAGGGAGCUCACUGAUGGAUGAAGUAGAAACAUUUUUAAAUGGAAUCAAACAGGGCAAAGCGGGAGAAGAAAAAGAAGUAGGUAAACCAGUAAAUUAACUUUUCUCGUGUGUGCUGUGUACUAUUUGUGAGUGAGCAAUGAACGCUGUGGCUCCCUGGAGGGGCUGUGGUGGGAAGUUUCACUGCGAUCAAGUAGAGGUGGUGCCUUUGGACCUCUUCUCCUGAACCUGCAGGGAGAGGCGCAGAAUAUUCACAAGGUGAAGAUGCAACAAUUCAAAUGAGUGUCCAGGUUUUCAGGGUGGUUGCUAAACCCCAAAAGACCGAUAGCUUCGGGCAAAAGACUGCAGAAAGAACAGCUUUACAUUUUUACGGAAGCAAUGGGAAAUAUACCCUGUAAGCCUUGAAAAAUUCCCGAAGGGAAGAAAGGAAGGUCCAGCAGGCACAGUGUCAGAGGAGGGUCCCAGAGGAAGGCACUGGGAACAGUCCUGGCCCUCAAAAUGUCACUGUCUGAGGGUCUUGACCUCUGGCUUGUGAGCUCACAGAGGGCAGCGCCCUUGCACUCACCUUCCUGUUGACCUGCAGGGCCAAGCAUUGUGCCGGACAUAGGGGUGAACAGGCACAUGCUUCCCACCUGUCAGGGAGAUUCUUGCUCUCCUGGCUCUGCCCCACCCCUGGGGGCUCUGCCAGCUCCUCGGAACCCUGAGUCCAGGGCAGGGCACGGUCUCAGGUCUUAGCCUGAUGACGUAGUACAGGCUCUAGGCCCCAGGAGGGACAUGGCACUUCCUGCAUCGACUCUGUCACUGGUCUCCCCAGGGCUUCCCUCCCCAAGCCUCAGGGGCUGUGGGGUACCCCAUCCUCUCCACAGAACACGUGCACAGGCCUCCAGGAGAUGGUUAAUAGAACGGAGAGGUUUUAGGGAAGUUUAUUUCUAUAGCUCUUACAUUUAUUUAUAUUUGUCAAAUAUGUUCCCAUCACUAAAAUCUCUUUGGAGCAUUUUCAAAAAUUAAAGAAUUGCGUCUAAAAAUACUGACCUUGAUGUUCAGUGUGCAUGGGUAACUCUCCAGGCCCAGCAACAUCAAGAGGCAGAUGUGACAGCAGCCGUGGCUGCUCAGGGGGCCGGGAAUGCGGGAAAGGGGUGGCUGUCAAACAGUCUUGACAAGCGGCUGAAUGUGACUGUGUCGGAUUUGGAAAGUGCAGCCUGAGAAUUUGAAAUCCAUUCACUCCCCACCCCCAAGCGUUUUUUCAUGUAUUCGUUCAUUCAGCACACCUUGAAUGAACACUCUUUUAUUUGCUACCUAUUCAGGGACACUACACAGGCCCGUGACCAUCACACGCCCAGCCUGGCCCCGUGCUGUGCCUGAGCAGAGGACUGUUGGCAGAUGGUUCACUUCCACCCUCCAUGAUAAAUGCUGAGAAAAGAAAGAUCAAGGGCUUCAGAGCCCACUGGAGGGAAUUCAUACAGCCGGGGGCCCAGGAAGCUGCUAAGGAAACUGCCUGGACGGCAGGGUGGCCGUGACCACGGGGACGGGGAGAAGGACCCAGAGGAGCUGAGGAAUCCUUGCUGUGGAAGGCACCAUAUGAGCUGCGUGAAGUCAGAGUCAAAAGCAAACCCGUCUCUUCUUGACAGUGGGACCCAGGAGGCAGGACAACCUGCCAGAGAGGCUGAAGGAGGUUCCCUCAGGCUGGAUCCUCGACAAGAAAAAGGAAGAGGGUCUGCCUGAUUCCCUCGCCAACAACAGCUGGUCUUCCAGAAGUCAGCAAUCUCUUGUCCCUUGUCUUCAAAAGCCCAUGGAGCUGGAGGCAGGCAGCUGAGGUCAGGAAGAGAAGGUGCGACCCAGUCCAGGAAGGCUGAGUCCUCGUGAACCCUCAGGGCUGGGGUGAGGGGCCAGUGCCCGGCCCAGACACCAGCACAGCCCUGCAGUGGGAGUUGAUCUCAGCAGAUGGACGGGCACCGCCCAGAGGAUGGACUGGUCAGCACCGCCCGGAGGAUGGACCGCUCAGCACCGCAGUGGCCGCUUGGCCUAAUUUGCCACCUGAAGAGCCGCCAGGUCUCCAGUGACUCUAGCACCAUGGACAGGAGAGGAGCAGGGUGACCUGAGGGUACAGAGAAGGUUCUGCUGUAAUCAAGUUCCCCUGCCUGGUCAGAGGGCUCAGAGGUUUGAGAGGGGAGGGAUUUCCUUUUAAAGCUGCAGGAUCCCUGUGGGUCCAGAAAGAAACACAGCCAUGGCGGGCAUCCCAUGGAGGGUAGUGACCAGGAGCAGGACAAAGGUGGAAGGUGGGUGGAGCCCCCACAUGGGCCUCAGGUCACAUUGGACAUUUCCUCAGCAAGUGUCACCUGGGUGGUGACGAAUGGGGGAGGAGAACAGAUGGAAUGCGGAGAGUAGCAGUGUGAAGCUGCACCGCCUGGUCACCACUCGAGAUACACAGGGUUUGCUCUGCCUGAGGAGCACACGCUGGCUGCAGACACGGGGCAACCACGUGAGAAAGGUCAGACCCAGGCCCACUCGCCUUCCAUAUGCAUCUUAGGGACGGGGAUGCCUGCGCCAGCAGCAGCCUUGCUGCCCCUGCGUCCCCCAGUGCACCUGCCAGGGCAAAGCCAACAGGCAGUGCCAAGGACCUGAGGGAGGAGGUGGGCUUGACUUCGAGGCAGGGCACAGACACCAGACCACGUGGAGGAGCAGCUGAAACAGGGCCGGUGGCAGCAGCCGCCUGUGAGACGUGCCAGCCGGUGAGCCUUGUUAGUUUACCAUUGCCACGGCAAGACCCAGAAGUUACUGCCACUUCCCACGGUAAAAUCCCAAUGACCCUGAGGUUUCUGCUCCUUUUCUAGAAAUUUCUGCAUAAACCAACCCCUAAUUAGCAUGUAGUUAAAAGUGGGUGUAAUUAUGAUGCGGAGCUGCCUCUGAGCUGCUCUUCUGUGCACUCUGCUGUCCUGGGGCAGCCCCUCUGCUGCCGCU
rnacentral:lncRNA from 10 species